rnacentral:rRNA from 1 species
CCGCGGUAAUACAGAGGGUGCGAGCGUUAAUCGGAAUUACUGGGCGUAAAGCGCACGCAGGUGGUUUGUUAAGUCAGAUGUGAAAUCCCGGGGCUCAACCUUGGAAUGGCAUUUGAAACUGGCAGGCUAGAGUACGGUAGAGGGGGGUGGAAUUUCCUGUGUAGCGGUGAAAUGCGUAGAUAUCUGAAGGAACACCAGUGGCGAAGGCGACCCCCUGGACUGAUACUGACACUCAGGUGCGAAAGCGUGGGGAGCAAACAGGAUUAGAUACCCUGGUAGUCCACGCCGU